rnacentral:rRNA from 1 species
UACGUAGGAUGCAAGCGUUGUCCGGAUUUUUUGGGUUUAAAGGGUGCGUAGGCGGCCUAUUAAGUUAGUGGUGAAAACGUUCGGCUUAACCGGAUACCCGCCAUUGAUACUGAUAGACUUGAGUGCGACAGAGGGUGUUGGAAUGUGUGGUGUAGCGGUGAAAUGCUUAGAUAUCACGCAGAACACCAAUUGCGAAGGCAGAUGCCUAUGUCGUAACUGACGCUGAGGCACGAAAGCGUGGGGAGCAUACACG